UACGGAGGGUGCAAGCGUUGUCCGGAUUUAUUGGGUUUAAAGGGUGCGUAGGCGGUCUUUUAAGUCAGAGGUGAAAUCCCACAGCUUAACUGUGGAACUGCCUUUGAAACUGGAAGACUUGAGUAUAGUUGAGGUAGGCGGAAUUUAUGAUGUAGCGGUGAAAUGCAUAGAUAUCAUAAAGAACACCGAUUGCGAAGGCA
rnacentral:rRNA from 1 species